rnacentral:pre_miRNA from 1 species
UGGACAGAUUAUUGUAUUCGACUGUAUUCACGGCGUGAAACAGGGGAUUAUAUUGUUUUUAAAUGAAAAGUGAAUCAAUUAACAUAAUAGACUCCU